UUUUUGUAUUGGGGCCAUUACCACAGCCAUUAUGUGUGGAUAGCACAAGAGAAAAGCUUAAUCUCAAUAGGUCUUCCUUUUUUUUUUUUUUGCCCACUGCAUGCAAAAAUUCCUAGGCUGGGGAUGGAAUGUUUGCCACAGCUGCAACCUGGGCCACUGCAGUGACAACUCUGGAUCUUUAACCCACCACACCACCAGGGAACUCCUGAUCAAUGGUUCUUGAAGUGUGGUCCCUGGAUUAACAUCUGUGCAACUGGGAACUUAAAAGUGCAAAUUAUACCUAUGGAUUUUACGUAGACCCAGUGAAUAAGAAGCUCUGUAGCAAGACGAUCUUGAUAGGAAAAGCACUCAGGAAACAAAGAGGUCAGAUGUCCUCCUGGCUCACAUCCACUCCAGGCAGACUUGCCUGAGAAGGACGGCAGACAGAGUAACCUCUACUAUAGACAUCAGCUUGCUUCUUUUCACUCUUUGAGAUGAGGAGACUGAGGACUGGAGAGGAAAGGUGAUAACUUUAAGG